rnacentral:rRNA from 1 species
CAAUAGCGUAUAUUAAAAUUGUUGCGGUUAAAACGCUCGUAGUUGGAUAUCUGCUAAGGGGUUCCAGUCCUUCCCAGUGAAGAAUACGCGGAACUCUUCUUGGCAUUUAUUCAGGGAAGGUGUUUGCACUUUGUUGUGUGUCACGUGAUCUGAAUUUUUACUUUGAGGAAAUGAGAGUGUUUCAAGCAGGCUUUCGCCGUGAAUAUGAUAGCAUGGAAUAAUAGCACAGGACCCCUUUCCAAAGCUGUUGGUUUUUGGAACGAGGUAAUCAGAAUAAGGAUAGUUGGGGGUAUUCGUAUUUAACUGUCAGAGGUGAAAUUCUUGGAUUUUUUAAAGACGAACUAUUGCGAAGGCAUCUGCCCAGGAUGUUUUUAUUG